rnacentral:lncRNA from 1 species
AUAUUGCUAACCCCGAAGAUGAUGUCAGGGCAUCUUGAUGGCAUGCAGAUUUCUGGGGGUUCUCAUGGUCUGUCAGGACAAGGCAGAUCCUGGCCACCUGAGCCCAUACAACCACAACCUGCUGGGAUGUCAGCCUACUUGUCUGCUGAUAUACCCUUGGAAAUUUUUGCACAGCUGGAAAUUCCCACGUCUUAAAGUACUGUUCUAUAAUAUAACCAAGAUUGAACAUGAAUAACUCCUAUAUAAACCCUUGCUUCACUGCCAAUCAUUAAUUUAUUCAGUGGUUGACGUUCUCUCCUAAUUUUAUAGAAAAGUACUUUAUUUUCAGUGUUUUACUGCAUCAUGGAAAAGCAACAACUUAAUCUGUAUGAACAUUUGUAAUCAGUUUCCAAGCUGAAGAAGACUAAAUGAAUUUAAAAUGCAUAUAUUGAAAUGGAUCUCCCUGUGCAUUUCAGCCUUCUUGCAUAUUUGGGUCUUAUAAUUUUAGGCUGGUGAAAAUAAGUUAAGAUUCUGAAAUUAAAGUGAGCCAGUAUUCAAAUGUCCAUAGUGCCUGUAUACCACAAUUGUAAUUUGCAGUUUUGAAAAUAAGGUUUUCUUAUUUCUUGCUGCUUCUUAUGAGAAACAGCACUGAUGUACAAUUCUCUUCCAGCUAAAUGAUGUGCAUUCUAAAUGCAUCAGUUUGUAUAUACGUAUGCAUUCCAUGUCCUCACUCAGACUAGUACUGGAUUCUUAUCACUUUGUCUGGGGUAAGACUUUCCUGCAAACCAAAGGUUUUCUUGAUUGCUCCAGCUAAUAUGCAGUUCAGAAGUUCAGCACAAAUUCAUCCAACUUGCGUGAAUCAAGCAGUAUAUAUCCUGAUAUGUUUGUAAAUUAAAUUACUGAAGGUGAUCCAGCCUAAUUAUAUUCAUCUGAACUGAGGGGAAUUCAGCAAAUGUGUUUAAUAUUCUACAACUCGGAGAGCACUCAGUACAAAUUAUUUUGGAAACAGUGAUACAGUGGAUCUCUAAGCCACCAAAAUGAGAAAGAGAGGAGUAGCACAUGGAUAUGUGUAGUGCACUGAAACACCAAAAUAGAGUCUUUAAAAGGCUGGUUUUGUAGUUCAGGUGCUAGGAAAAAGCAGAGAUGAAAAAUAAAGACUGUUUAUACCAACUAUGAUUUUUGGAA